AUGACUCUGAAGAUGGAAGAUUGCCUAAACAAGGCCUCUUCAGUAAUGGUGACAUUUUGCAAAUAUGCUAGCUGGUAAAUAUUAUCAAUUUUACAGGACAUUUGACUAUCCUUGAAGGACCAUCUUUGCACAGUGUGUGUUCAUUGAGGUGAUCAUGGGUAUCUCGCAC